UUGUCCUACCCCCGAUGGGCGGGUUCAGAGAGGGAGACUGGAGGGGGUGGGGGGGCGGUUAGGGCCGAGCCCCGCUCGCACAGGAAGUGCGACUCGGGCCUCGCCGCUGCGCCCGGGCGAGCGCCAGCCCGCCUCUCCUCCUCCUCCUCCUCGCGUCCUCCCGCUCGCAAGCACACCGGCUCCACCGUCCGCAGAAGGCGGGCGGCGGGUUGGCGCCGGGCCUCCACCUUCCGCCCGGAACCCACCCCCGGGAGGCCAACACUUUCUGGAUCACACACACACCACACACACAGACACCACACAGACCACACACCACUCACCUCACACUCACACAACAGGCGUCGGGCGGGGGAGCGCGGGCGGGUCGGAGCGUUGGCGCCUCGGGCGGCAGCUCCCGGGCGGGGGAGGGGAGGAGAUAGAGGCGCGAGGGAGGGGAGAGGCGAGGGAGAGAAAGCGGCGCGAGGGGGAGCCGGGCCGGGGCUAAGCCGCUCCUCACCUGGCCGCCGCCGCGCCACCGCGCCGUUUUCCGUGCUGCUGCUGCUGCUGCAGAUACUCUCGCCGUGCCGCCGCCGCCGCCGCUGUCCACGUCCAAGGCAGCCAUUCCUCUUGUUUCACGGGCUUUUCGGGAGCUGGCAGGCACAGCGCGGGGGGGUGGGGGUGGGGAGGAAGGCGGGUGGAGAGAGGGAGGGGGCCCGCGGGCCGAGGCGAAAUUACUCCAAAGCCCGGACCGAGUCCCUUCCCCUCCCCCACCCGCCCCCCGGCGGCGGCGGCGGCGGCGGCGGCGGCUCCUCCUCCCUCCUGCUGCUGCCCCCGCCCGCCCCUGCCUGUAACCCUCCUCCUCCUCCUCUUUCCCUCCUCCUCCUCCUCCCCGCGCUGCCCCUGCCCCCUCUCCUCUCCUCCCCUUUCCCUUCGCGCCGCUCGCUCUCACUCGCGCUCGCUCCUCUCGCACCGUCAGUCACUCACACGCCCGCCCGCCGCCCGCGCCCGCACACAGGGGGAUGCGCUCCCGGUGGACCGGGCCGCCAGCCCCGGGCCCAGCGGGGACACGGCGUUGCUGGGGCUUCAGGGGUGGACGGUAGCUGGCGGGGAGGGGAGGGAGGCGGAAGGGAGUGCGGCUUUCUGCCUCUCACAGACACUCGGUCUCAUACAGGGGGCCCGGAGCCGGCGGCGGCGGCCCGGGGCUGGCUGUAG
rnacentral:lncRNA from 1 species